GAGGGUAUAGCUCAGUGCUAGAGUGUGCAUUUAGCAUGCAUUGGGUCUUGGGUUCAAUCCCCAGUACCUCCA
rfam:Camelus ferus unplaced genomic scaffold scaffold642, whole genome shotgun sequence.